AUUGAACGCUGGCGGCAGGCCUAACACAUGCAAGUCGAGCGGAUGAAGGUAGCUUGCUAUCUGAUUCAGCGGCGGACGGGUGAGUAAUGCCUAGGAAUCUGCCUGGUAGUGGGGGACAACGUUUCGAAAGGAACGCUAAUACCGCAUACGUCCUACGGGAGAAAGUGGGGGAUCUUCGGACCUCACGCUAUCAGAUGAGCCUAGGUACGAUUAGCUAGUUGGUGAGGUAAAGGCUCACCAAGGCGACGAUCGUUAACUGGUCUGAGAGGAUGAUCAGUCACACUGGAACGGAGACACGGUCCAGACUCCUACGGGAGGCAGCAGUGGGGAAUAUUGGACAAUGGGCGAAAGCCUGAUCCAGCCAUGCCGCGUGUGUGAAGAAGGUCUUCGGAUUGUAAAGCACUUUAAGUUGGGAGGAAGGGCAGUAAGUUAAUACCUUGCUGUUUUGACGUUACCAACAGAAUAAGCACCGGCUAACUUCGUGCCAGCCGCCGCAGUAAUAC
rnacentral:rRNA from 1 species